rnacentral:tRNA from 1 species
GCAGAAAUAGUUAAAAAAAACACUAGAUUGUGAUUCUAGAGCCAGAGGUUAAACUCCUCUUGCCCACC